rnacentral:misc_RNA from 1 species
GUUGAAUUCUAUGAUUUUCUGAUGACUUUAUGAAUAUAAUUUAUAUGCAUUGAAAAUAUAGAUGAAAUUAAUUACACGUUAUGAGGUUAUGCGCAUUCUUGCUAUCUCUUAAUGCGAGUCUUAGUUGAUCAUGUUUUGCUGAUCUAGUUUUUGAUUGGUAAUAUAUGGAUCUUCAUGUUUGUUGUUCACUGAGCUUUGAGUUUAUUUUGCUUUUAUCAAAUUCUAAAAAGCCGGGUUCUCUCCGCGUAAAUUUAUUUAUCGAUCUUUCUCUUGUAUUGAAAUGGAAAAUCAACUUGAACUCUAGCAACAAACUUAGUUCUGAUGAAUCUAACAAAAAUGGAUUUGAAAGUGAUUAGGGCAGCAAGUGUUUGGCUGGAAGCAAGAGAAUUAGUAAGAUCUUGAAAGUUAAAAUAAUCUCAAGUUGGUCAGUGCUGUUUUUUAUCAGAAUGAAACCCAGCUGCCAUAGAAAAUAAUGAUUGUUGUAGGGC